UUGCCAGGAAGUAAUGAAGGUCAGAGUAGACAUAUUUAGCAUUUCAUGUGGCAACAUGCAGCUGAAACUAUUAUAUACAUGAAGAAAUUACGCACAGGUAAAUAUAGGCCAAAAAAACAAUAUCUGUAAUUCAAGAAGAGUAAAUCUGUGCACAUAUGUGAACGAAUAUGCAUAAGCAAUGCAAUAUUGUUAUACAAUUCCAGCAGAUCGUAUGAAAAUUUUUAUGUGCGUUCCAGAAAUUAUGAAACUCGUAAAGGUAUCUAAAAGUAGUCAUUACCUUCUUACCUGGAAAUAUUAACUCUGCUCUUGAUCUAGAACGAGUCAAAACAUGCACAGUAUGAUUGUCUGCAAGACAGAACACAUUCAGAUCCCUGUUUAACAUUUCUAGCCAAAACAGCAAUCAUUCAUGUAUUCAAGGUCCCUAAUUAGAUGGGAGAGGCAGAAUGAGCUUGUUCAAUAUACUUCAUUAAUAGAUCAAUUAUUUCACAAUAAUCUAGGACAAGGAAUAUCAAAGCACUUGAGACAAUUUAUUCUUAAACACAUGCUUGUUGGUGGGAGCAUAU